GGCAGCCUCGGCGGUCUGGGCGGGGCGGGAAGCCCGCUUUCAACCCCGCGUACCCUCUGACCCCGGAAGUGCUUGCUGCGCAGGACCCCUUGAAAAAAAAUGAGGACCCGUCUUUUUUAGGUCACAAGAUUGCGCCAACCCUUACAUGGUCCUUAAAAAAAAAACCUUCUGACACUGCAGUAGUGAAAAUGAAGCGCACGAUGGGCGGAAGCUAGGAAGACAAACAUAAAGAUGAAGUGCUUAAUUCAAGGUCACACAAUGUCGGGGAUGGACCUCCAGAUUUCCUUACUGACCUGCAUUAUCUUGUGGAUACCUGAGUGAAUUCCACACCACCCAUUUUAUAGAUGAAACCACUGAGACAUGGAGCAAUUGACUGAGUAGUCACUGCCCCACCCCUGCCUGGAGCCUCACACAUGACUCGCCUCCUCUCAGUGACCACAGGUGAGACGUGGUCUUGUAACACAGUGGUUAAGAAUGUGACUUUGGAGCCAGCCUGCUAGGGGCUGAAUUCUGACUCAGCCAUUUACUAACUGUGUGACCUUAGGGAGGAGGACCUGGUUGAUAGAAGAAUUUAUCUCGUAGUCUUAACAUCCACUGUAAUUCCAAACUUUGAGGACGAUAGAGAUCAGUGGGCUUUGACUGCCCAGCAUGCAGUCUCCAUUCUUAGGUGGGUUCCCAAGCCUGUAAAAUGUAAGCCUUAUGCUGCUGAGGGCCAUCUUGCCACCCUGAGGGAAACGCUGCCUGAGAAUGAAACAAGCAUAAGUAAAAGCUGAGCUGUGAGAUGGAGCAAGAUGAAGGCCACAUGACAUCUUUGGAGCACCUGGAUCUAACUGUGCCUUAAGCUAGUCUAACCCUGAACAUUUCAUCAUUUCAUUGACAUGAGCCCAGGUUUUCUUUUUUUUUGGAUGGAGUCUUGCUCUGUCGCCCAGGCUGGAGUGCAGUAGCUCAAUCUCGGCUCACUGCAAGCUCCACCUCCCGGGUUCACGCCAUUCUCCUGCCUUAGCCUCCCAAGUAGCUGGGACAACAGGCGCCCACCACCACUCCCAGCUAAUUUUUUGUAUUUUUAGUAGAGACGGGGUUUUACCAUGUUAGCCGGGAUGGUCUUGAUCUCCUGACCUCAUGAUCCGCCCGCCUCGGCCUCCCAAAGUGCUGGGAUUACAGGUGUGAGCCACUGCACCCAGCCCUCAGGUUUUCCCUUUUUUUACCCCUCCUUUUGAAAAUUUGAUGUGGAAUUUUGCCACCUGCAGCCAGAAGAGUUUUAACUAAUCAGUGCCAUAAAUUUUAUAUAGUUCUCCUUGCAAAAUGUGGAUCAGCCUUUCUCAGCAAAUCCUUUGUCAUAAAGUGCUGAAUUGUAAGUUUGUCAUGAGAAUCACAUGAGAUCAUGCAUGUGAAGAACCUGGCAUUAUCCUCCUCAUAGAAAAAAACCAGUAAAUAUUAACUACAGGAAGCAAGGAAGGAGUGGGGUGAGGGGAAGAAGAAGGGGUACUGAUUUAAAAGAACCCUGGAGUCCUAAGGAUAAUCUAGGAACCCUCAGACCCAAUCCGAUACCCCUAUUCUAAAUGCUCCUAGUGCCCUGUACCUUCCCCUCAUAAGCCUUCAUUAUCAUUGUAAUGAUAUGUUUAUGUAAUAUUUUGAUUAAUGUCUCUCCUUCACUGACCUAGCAGUUCUAGCAGGGCAGUGAUUUUGCUGUGUUGCAUCCCCAGCACCUAGUCUGGUAUGUGGCAUUCAGCAUAUGUUUAUUGAAUGAAUGGCCAUGUGGUUAUUCAGAUCCUCCUUGAUUAUUGGGGUUAGGAUUGUGGCAGAAGUGGCAAAAUCAGGGAGAGUAGUCCCUGUCCCCUCUGUAUCUUAUACACUGCCCACACUCCCAACACACAUACACAUACAGAGAAUUUUGUCUCAAUUAGAUAAUUAACUUCUGCUUGGUUGUAAACCAAACCACUGGUUCUUAAACUUUCAUUGGAUCAUUUUAUUGAAGAAUUAAAUAGUGUGGUUCUGGCCUAAUGUCUGGAAAGCCUUGCAGAGGAGUGGAUUAGGUCUUUGUGAUAAACAGGCAGCCUUCCCUGCUCCUGUGUCUUUAUAAAAUCUAUUUAACUGGAGUAGUCCACCCUCCCUCAGGCUCUUACAGGAAUAUGUUGGAGGCUGUAGGAAGGUGGGAAACCGAGAGGGAAAGGACUGGGCCGCUGGAGACUUCACUCAUUCCCUAGCAAGAAACAAAAGCAGUAAAAGGUGGCCCGAGGACAACCUGAAGCUCACUCCUUCAGCACUUUUGGCUGGAGGUCACUUGUUGGAGCCCCACUCAGAGCUCAGCACACCACCCCACCAGCAGCCUCCUCCUCCCAGCUGAGGCUGCAUUUCAUCCCUUCCCCCAGCCUGCUUUCCCUGAGAUAGGGGAGUGUUUCCCAGGGCCCAUGUGACUUCCACUGGCAAGUGACGAUUACCAAUGGUUUACUAGUCAGUGAAACUACCAAAGGCUUUUGUGCUGUAGUAAUCCUUUUCCUGUUUAAAACUCUGGGGAUUUUCUAAUGUUGCCAAUAGUUUUUCAAGUCAGCAAUUACUGUGUGGAUUAUGUAAUGGCUCGGUAUUAAAAAUAGAAAAGACUGGAGUUUGCAUCUAUUUUAACCAAAUCUUGAAAACAGAGCAAAGGGAGGGGAAGGGUGGAGAGGGAGAGACCAGAGGAGGAGGGAGAAAAAGAGAUCAUGUGACUGGAUAAGACAGCUCACAAUUCACUGUGCCUUUCUCCCACCAUUUGUGGCCCAAGGACCUGUACUCCCUCCUCAGCCUCCUCUAGGGAGGGGUCCUUGAUGAGAAUUCUGAGGACACAAGACCCCUUGUGGAUAUUUCUUAGCUCAGCCUUGGUGUGCUUACCUGCUUCUGACAAGCAAAGUGGCCAAGUAGGGGAGGGAGUUGAAUCUGAUGUCCUCCACUAAGUCCAG
rnacentral:lncRNA from 1 species